AUGAAGUGCUAAUAACUAUUUAAUUGAAGUUAACAAAGCAAUAAAAUUCACUUAUAAAGUGAAACUAAAAUUCUAAUUAUCCAACUCAAAGGAGAAUAAUAUGGCUCAAGUACUCGUAUUAGUUUAUGCUUUAAUCAUUUUUCUUUCUCUAAGUCUUCUUGAAGCUGAAAAAUAUAUGGAAACAGACAUUCCUUGUGUUACUUACAAAGAUUGUAAAUUAUUUCCCCCUUAUAGCCGUAGGUGCAUUUAUAAUUUGUGUCGCUACUACAAGUAUGACUAAUUAUCAUACGUGUUGAGUUUGGCAGAUAUGUAAUUUCAAAUAAUCUUUGUUUGAAUAAUCAACUUCCAAUUUCUCUCUUCAUUA